rnacentral:rRNA from 1 species
GACAGAGGCCUCGAGCGUUAGGCGGAAUCACUGGGCUUAAAGCGUGUGUAGGCGGACCUCUAAGUACCUUGUGAAAUCCCACGGCUCACCCGUGGAACCGCUGGGUAUACUGGGGGUCUUGGGCCAUUCAGGGGCAACUGGAACAAGCGGUGGAGCGGUGAAAUGCGUAGAUAUCGUAAGGAAGACCAGUGGCGAAGGCGGGUCUCUGGACAGUUCCUGACGCUGAAGCACGAAGGCCAGGGGAGCAAACGGG